AAAAGACCUUUAUCACUCUCAUUACUUUGGAAAUUCUGAGGAUUUUAUGAGGAAUUCUACUCACUGCUGCUGAUCCUGCCUCAUUUCCCGUCUUCAUCUUUCCCUGCUUCCACAUGGUGGGAUCUGUCAGUUCCCCAGCUAUCCAUCUCAAAACCAUACCUGACCAGUUUGAAGGCAGCAUGAGCUCUAUAAUUUGCUACAAUUCAUAAACAGAAGAGAGAAGGGGAGGGAAAGCCAGUGUAUAAUAUGCAAGGCAUUAAGAUCACCUACGCCACUAUGUGGAGAGAGGAGUCAAGAGAGGAGAGAGAGCUAAUUAGAAUCAGAGAGAAAAGAAGCUAUCCUGAAAAGUGGAUCAAUUUCUCUGUAUCCAGUGUGACCUUUGCCUCAGAGCUGAGCUCGUUUUGGAGCUGUCCUUGGUGCUUACCUCAGACCUGGAACUCAAUUUUCAGGACUGAUCCAGCCUGCAGUUUCCUCAUAAUGAGGAGUCUAUUUUUCAUGAACCAGGUGCCUCUCUGCCCACCUUGGAACCCUGCCACUAUCCCUACAUGGACUUGCAGGAAAAUAUGCCAAUUCCACCCUCCCUUGCUCUCCUCUGCUAUGUUUUUCUCUCUCACUCUCUCCAUAAUUCUUCCUCAGUACAGUUUUCUUGGCAUAUCUCCCUACUUAGACAUACAUCCAAACAGUAAUUUCUAUGAUGAGUGUAAGUGGUUGGUAUGGCAAGAAAAAACACAGAGCUGGAUGUUAGAAAUCCUGGAUUUUAGAUUUUAGUUAUGGCUCUAAUAUUAACGAGCCCUGUGACUUGACUAAGUCAUGUAAAAUCUCAGAAAUCUGCUUUCCCAUUUAUAAAGUUGAGAUAAUCACAUAAUCUCUAUAUUACCACAGAGGGUAGUUGUAAGGCUCACAUAAGAUGAUAAUAUGUGAAAACUCUGGA
rnacentral:lncRNA from 1 species